rnacentral:rRNA from 1 species
AACGAACGCUGGCGGCAGGCUUAACACAUGCAAGUCGAGCGCCCCGCAAGGGGAGCGGCAGACGGGUGAGUAACGCGUGGGAAUCUACCCAUCUCUACGGAAUAACUCAGGGAAACUUGUGCUAAUACCGUAUACGCCCUUCGGGGGAAAGAUUUAUCGGAGAUGGAUGAGCCCGCGUUGGAUUAGCUAGUUGGUGGGGUAAUGGCCUACCAAGGCGACGAUCCAUAGCUGGUCUGAGAGGAUGAUCAGCCACACUGGGACUGAGACACGGCCCAGACUCCUACGGGAGGCAGCAGUGGGGAAUAUUGGACAAUGGGCGAAAGCCUGAUCCAGCCAUGCCGCGUGAGUGAUGAAGGCCCUAGGGUUGUAAAGCUCUUUCACCGGUGAAGAUAAUGACGGUAACCGGAGAAGAAGCCCCGGCUAACUUCGUGCCAGCCGCCGCGGUAAUAC